rnacentral:rRNA from 1 species
UACGUAGGGGGCGAGCGUUGUCCGGAAUCAUUGGGCGUAAAGCGCGUGUAGGCGGCCAGGUAGGUCUGGUGUGAAAACUCGAGGCUUAACCUCGAGAUGUCAUCGGAAACCAUCUGGCUAGAGUCCGGAAGAGGAGAGUGGAAUUCCUGGUGUAGCAGUGAAAUGCGUAGAUAUCAGGAGGAAUACCGAUGGCGAAGGCAGGUCUCUGGGCUGAAACUGACGCUCAUGCACGAAAGCGUGGGGAGCAAACAGG